AGAGAUUUCCACCAUCUUUAUGCCAAGGCUUAAGGGUGAGUCAUCAAACAAAAGAUCUCUAAGUUUUUGAGGUCGUAUUCAACACUUGGAACUUAAGAUUUAGGAACAUCCAAACCUAAAUAUUAUUAUUUUAAUCCUAAAAAUCAAUGUUUUAAAAAUUGGUAUUGCUUUCAUUGUGCAUGGAUCUAAGAUGCCAACACAAUAAAUGUUAAAGAUUUUAUAUCGUAUAAUAAAAGUUUGAAAAAAGGUAUAAC
rnacentral:lncRNA from 1 species